UUUCCGGUUGAUCCUGCCAGAGGCUACUGCUAUCGGGGUCCGACUAAGCCAUGCGAGUUGAGAGGGGUAAGCCCUCGGCAUAUUGCUCAGUAACACGCGGAUAACCUGCCCUUGGGUUUGGGAUAACCCCGGGAAACUGGGACUAAUACCGGAUAGACCAAAGAUACUGGAAUGUUCUUUGGUCGAAAGCUCCGGCGCCCAAGGAUGGGUCUGCGGCCCAUCAGGUAGUAGUGGGUGUAACGUACCUACUAGCCUACGACGGGUAAGGGUUGUGAGAGCAAGAGCCCUGAGAUGGAUUCUGAGACAUGAAUCCAGGCCCUACGGGGUGCAGCAGGCGCGAAAACUUUACACUGCGGGAAACCGCGAUAAGGGGACCCCGAGUGCCAGCACCUAGUGCUGGCUGUCCAGCUGUUCAAAAAACAGCUGUUAGCAAGGGCCGGGCAAGACCGGUGCCAGCCGCCGCGGUAACACCGGCGGCCCGAGUGGUAGCCGUUAUUAUUGGAUUUAAAGGGUCCGUAGCCGGCCUAUUAAGUCUCUUGGGAAAUCUGGCGACUCAAUCGUCAUGCGUUCAAGAGAUACUGUUAGGCUUGGGACCGGGAGAGGUGGGAGGUACUCCAGGGGUAGGGGUGAAAUCUCGUAAUCCUUGGGGGACCACCGAUGGCGAAGGCAUCCCACCAGAACGGGUCCGACGGUGAGGGACGAAAGCUGGGGGCACGAACCGGAUUAGAUACCCGGGUAGUCCCAGCCGUAAACGAUGCUCGCUAGGUGUCAGGUGCGGUGCGACCCGCAUCUGGUGCCGCAGUGAAACUUGAAGCGAGUCACCUGGGAAGUACGGUCGCAAGGCUGAACUUAAGGAAUGGCGGGGAACCCUACACGGGUGGAGCCUGCGGUCAAUGGAUUCACGCCGAAAGCUUACGGGGUCGAACAG
rnacentral:rRNA from 1 species